rnacentral:rRNA from 1 species
ACGCUCGACACCUACGGAGGCAGCAGUAGGGAAUCUUCCACAAUGGGCGCAAGCCUGAUGGAGCAACACCGCGUGAGUGAAGAAGGGUUUCGGCUCGUAAAGCUCUGUUGUUGGAGAAGAACGUGCGUGAGUAGUAACUGUUCACGCAGUGACGGUAUCCAACCAGAAAGUCACGGCUAACUACGUGCCGGCAGCCGCGGUAAUCUGAGCGGGCUGGCAAGGC